AAAAUGGAAAAAAAAAUCUUAAUUAUUUUAAUUUUCCUUAAUUAAUUAGUUUCUAAUUACAUCAUAAACACGGUUUCCAAAAGCCCCCCUAGAUUAAGAUACGACGUAGAGUUUCUCAAUUUUUUUUUAAAUUUUUUUUUCCAUACCAUUUCGAAAAAAAUUACAAACCACAAUCUCUCCGAUCCCUCUUUACAUAAGAUGGUCUCCGCAUUGUUCUUGAUCGAUCGCACCGCGAUGUCGAGCUUUGGAGCCCCAGUUUGAUCGAUUCUAGGGUUUCGUUUGUUCGAUUCGUGCGGCGACAUGGAUGAUGCGAAUUUGGAGUCGGAUUCGCAGCAAGAGAAGAUGAAGGAAGACAUACGCCGAGUGUCAGAUGUACUUUCUAUCUCAGAAGCUUCUGCAUGCAGCCUUCUUAUUCACUUCAAAUGAGGAAGAAGCAGAGCUAUACAGGCCCAGCUGAAAAGCACUUUUAGAAAACCCAAAUAGUGUAUGUGCAUAGGUGUUCCACUGUCCACCGAAAGGAUCUAUCGAGUUGUGGUUUUCUGUUCUGGGUCUGAACAACCCAAAGCAGAUAGAGGUGUUAUUCCCCCUAGGAAAAUGACAUCCUAUGGUGGCUCUGAAAGGAGUGUGUGUGUGGCAUUUCUGGUUUGUCAACAUGGUUCUUAGAAAAAGACUGUUCACUAAACUAAGUUCCUAGAUAAAAUUUGAAAUGCCUUCUCUUAUGGAACCAAUGGUAUAGGGGAAUAAAGAAAAGAUUAGUACAGGUAAUUGACUUCCAAUAGAUCUCACAAGAGACACGAGAGAGCGAGAGAGAGAGAGAGAGAGAAUAUGUAUAAAAAUUACCUGG